AAAAAACACUCCCCAGCUGAUCCCAGUAUGCAGUCAAUGUCAUGCACCGCUGCUCAGAUCCACUCUACACACUGCUUAAGGCAGAGCUCUGCACAUAAUGCCCUCUGCUCAGAAACCUCAGUAGCUUUCAGUUGGUAAUCAAUUUAGAACUUAGAGUAGAAUGCCUAAUUCCCAUCCUCAUCCUAGGCCAGUGACUCUCAAAAUGUUGGCAGAGACCAGAGAUACUGGUGUCACCUGUUAGAUGGUGGCAUCUGUUAGAAAUGCAUGCCAAGGCUCCAUCCCUACUCAAUCAGAAACUGGGGGAGAGGCC
rnacentral:lncRNA from 10 species